rnacentral:rRNA from 1 species
AUUGAACGCUGGCGGCAGGCCUAAUACAUGCAAGUCGAGCGGACGAAGGGAGCUUUUUCCUGGAUUCAGCGGCGGACGGGCGAGUAAUUCCCAGGAAUCUGCCUGGUCUUGGGGGAUAACGUCACUACACGGGCGCUAAUAUCGCAUCCGUCCUGAUGUAGAAACGCGGGGUUCUUCGGACCUCACGCUAUCAGAUGAGCCUAGGUCGUAUUAGCUAGUUGGUGUGGUAAAGGCCUACCAAGGCGACGAUCCGUAACUGAUCUGAGAGGAUGAUCAGUCACACUGGAACUGAGACACGGUCCAGACUCCUACGGGAGGCAGCAGUGGGGAAUAUUGGGCAAUGGGCGAAAGCCUGAUCCAGCCAUGCCGCGUGUGUGAAGAAGGUCUUCGGAUUGUAAAGCACUUUAAGUUGGGAGGAAGAGAAGUAAAUUAAUACCUUGCUGUUUUGACGUUACCAACAGAAAAAGCACCGGCUAACUUCGUG